GCCAGGUGUGGUGGCACAUACCUGUAAUCCCAGUGUCUUGGGAGACUGAGGCAGGAGGAUCUCAAAUUCUGAGAGCCUCAGCAAUUUAGUGAGGCCCUAAGCAACUCAGUGGGACUCUGUCUCUA
rnacentral:sRNA from 1 species